GACAUUUGCAGCUUGCAAAACUGGCAGGAAAUAAAGUUGUAGCGACUUGUGGAGGAAAUGAAAAGGCAAGGCUUUUGAAAGAAUUGGGGGUUGAUCGAGUCAUAGACUAUAAUACUGAAGAUGUCAAAACUGCUCUCAAGGAGUUUCCUAAAGGACUCGACAUUGUGUUCAAAUGUGUUGGUGGUGACAUGUUUGAUUUGUGCAUUAAUGCUUUGGCUAUCCGUGGACGACUCAUUGUGAUAGGAAUGAUCUCUCAGUAUCAAGGGAAGCAUGGAUGGAUGCCGUUUAAUUACCCUGGACUUGUUGAGAAGCUUUUGGCCAAAAGUCAAACUGUGGCUGGCUUUGUCCUGUUUCAGUAUAGCCAUUUCUGGAAACAACACCUGAUUAGACUCUUUCAUCUUUAUUCUUCAAGAAAGCUUAAGGUAGU